rnacentral:lncRNA from 1 species
CGUCUUCCUAUGAAUGACACCCGAAGCUGCCCCUGGCUCCCACCUGCACUCACACAUAUUUGAUUUUAAACUUGCAAUGGAAGGGGGAGAGAUUUCUUGGAUUACUGAUAGACGUAUCUUCCCAGCUCUCAGUUGGCACUUUGAUUUGAGCACUUGUUCUCCUGGAGUGUGUCAUUGUGGCCACCGGGUGUGUUCUCCAGUCCUGACUUCAUGGUGGUCCUCUAGAGCUCAAGAACCUCAACUUCUGAGUGUACAUCACGGUAGACAUCCCUCUGCAGAAGGGGACAUAAGCCACCAGAGAUCUAGCACCUUCUGUCAGCUAGAGUGCUGCUGGCUGCCCGCCC